rnacentral:lncRNA from 1 species
UAGGAUUUCACCAAAGAUGGGGUCAGGACUGAUGACAUUCUGAUUUCAGAGUCCCUGAGAUCGGUGCAUGUUGUUGCCACUUGUUGGUAACUUCAUAGAGUGUGGGGAAUGUGAAACUUCUAGAAAAUUUGAUGCUUCAUUGAGAGAAAAUAAUUGGGAAUAAAUUGCACAGUGAGAUUUGGGGAUGUGUUUGGUCUUCUUAUGUGUGGUCCAGAAGGGAUAAGAAUAUAUAAACAGUGUUGAGUUAAUAUAAACAACACAGUCUUUAAAUAGGCAUCUUGCUGGGCUGUCUUGUUUUUUAAGACUGAGUCACAGAUUCAGAAGUAGGAAGGUAUUCUCAGUCCACACCUUCAACGCUUAGGUCUCCUCUCUUCACGUGACAGAGAGAAAAGAGAUGUUAAAACCGGGGCUUGUGUGUCUUUCAAGGUGACGACUGGUAGUUAGAUUUG